rnacentral:rRNA from 1 species
CCUACGGGAGGCUGCAGUGAGGAAUAUUGGUCAAUGGACGAGAGUCUGAACCAGCCAAGUAGCGUGAAGGAUGACUGCCCUAUGGGUUGUAAACUUCUUUUAUAUGGGAAUAAAAUGUUCCACGUGUGGGAUUUUGUAUGUACCAUAUGAAUAAGGAUCGGCUAACUCCGUGCCAGCAGCCGCGGUAAUACGGAGGAUCCGAGCGUUAUCCGGAUUUAUUGGGUUUAAGGGGAGCGUAGGUGGAUUGUUAAGUCAGUUGUGAAAGUUUGCGGCUCAACCGUAAAAUUGCAGUUGAAACUGGCAGUCUUGAGUACAGUAGAGGUGGGCGGAAUGCGUGGUGUAGCGGUGAAAUGCUUAGAUAUCACGAAGAACUCCGAUUGCGAAGGCAGUUCACUGGACUGCAACUGACACUGAGGCUCGAAAGUGUGGGUAUCAAACAGGAUUAGAUACCCCUGUAGUC